rnacentral:sRNA from 1 species
UGAUGAGUUCUGUGACGUGAUCUGCUGU